CGCCUCGAAAGGCCGCACGGAAGAGCCGGGCGUAUUGUGGCGUGAAAACAUGGCUAAAUCGAGGUUGGACGCUAAGGCAGUGGCGGGUAGGCACAGCUGUGUUGUGACUGGGAAGAAGUGGGGAGAUGACGGGGGAUGUGAAAGUGAGGAUAGUAUGGAGAUGAGUUUUGGGAUUGAAACGGGAAGGGAAAAGAGGGGAAAUAGUUUUGAUGGAGCUGAUUCUAGAAAACAAAGACGGGUGAUGUCAACUGACAGUGAUGAAGAAGGAGGGAAUGGAUAUAAAGUCAUUUUGAGAUUUUCUGAAGGACAAGGGUUAAGUACUUUCAGCCCGAUAAAACUGACGACUAUCUUGAAGAAUCAAGUGGGGGACAUUAAAAUUGCUAAAGUCUUGAGAGAUGGGAACCUGUUGAUUGUUUGUAGAAGUGAGGAGCAGAGGGACAGGGCCUGUAAAAUAAGAGAAGUGGGUAAACAUAAAGUUGUUAGUAUGAGCAAGGUAGGAUUGGGAGGUCAGGGGCGGAGGGGAGUGAUUUGGGGCAUACCUGUGGAGAUGUCUAUUACAGAAUUUAAAGCUAACCUACGAGGGGCAGAAAUAAGAGAAGCAAGGAGAUUAAGUGUUUUUCGGGAUGGUGUGAGGAGGGAAUCUGAGGGAAUGUUGUUGGAAUUUAUGGGAAGGAGCCUGCCGGACAGAGUGUCCCUGGGAUACAUGUCUUAUACUGUGAGGGAAUACAUUCCUAAACCCAUUAGAUGUUUUCACUGCCAGAGAUUUGGACACACUGCUGCUGUAUGUAAAGGCAAGCAGAGGUGUCCCAGGUGUGGAGAAGAUCAUAGCUAUGAGUCCUGUGGAAACAAGUUGAAACCAAAGUGUUGUAACUGUGGGGGGGAUCAUAGUGCUGCAUAUGCAGGUUGUCAGGUUAUGAGGAGAGAAGUCCAUAUUCAAAGAACCAGAGUACUACAUAGAAUCUCAUAUGCAGAUGCAGUUAAAAUGGUUGGUAAAGGUUCUGAUAGACAGGCAGGAGUCAUACACGAGGUGGCAAAUAGUAUACAGGACAGGAAUAUUGAGGGGAGAGUUUUGUUAGAUUUGAAGAAACUGGUCACGUUUGUAGCUGCAGUUAUAAAUGCAACGAUGGAAACUGAGUCAAAAACGGAAAGAAUACAAAUCAUUGUAAAAGCAGCAGCGAACCAUUUGGACAUCAAUGAGUUGAC
rnacentral:lncRNA from 1 species